UACGUAGGGCGCAAGCGUUGUCCGGAAUUAUUGGGCGUAAAGAGCUCGUAGGCGGUCUGUCGCGUCUGCCGUGAAAACCCGAGGCUUAACCUCGUGGCUUGCGGUGGAUACGGGCAGACUAGAGGUAGGUAGGGGAGAAUGGAAUUCCCGGUGUAGCGGUGAAAUGCGCAGAUAUCAGGAGGAACACCGGUGGCGAAGGCGGUUCUCUGGGCAUGUCCUGACGCUGAGGAGCGAAAGUGUGGGGAGCGAACAGG
rnacentral:rRNA from 1 species